rnacentral:rRNA from 1 species
ACGAAGGGGGCUAGCGUUGUUCGGAAUUACUGGGCGUAAAGCGCACGCAGGCGGUUCGGUUAGUCAGAAGUGAAAGCCCCGGGCUCAACCUGGGAAUUGCUUUUGAUACUGGGGAUCUCGAGUCCGGAAGAGGUGAGUGGAACUGCGAGUGUAGAGGUGAAAUUCGUAGAUAUUCGCAAGAACACCAGUGGCGAAGGCGGCUCACUGGUCCGGUACUGACGCUGAGGUGCGAAAGCGUGGGGAGCAAACAGGA